rnacentral:rRNA from 1 species
GGAUAACUUACCCUUUAGGACUGGGAUAACUCUGGGAAACUGGGGAUAAUACUGGAUAUUAGGCUAUGCCUGGAAUGGUUUGCCUUUGAAAUGUUUUUUUUCGCCUAAGGAUAGGUCUGCGGCUGAUUAGGUCGUUGGUGGGGUAAUGGCCCACCAAGCCGAUGAUCGGUACGGGUUGUGAGAGCAAGGGCCCGGAGAUGGAACCUGAGACAAGGUUCCAGACCCUACGGGGUGCAGCAGGCGCGAAACCUCCGCAAUGUACGAAAGUGCGACGGGGGGAUCCCAAGUGUUAUGCUUUUUUGUAUGACUUUUCAUUAGUGUAAAAAGCUUUUAGAAUAAGAGCUGGGCAAGACCGGUGCCAGCCGCCGCGGUAACACCGGCAGCUCGAGUGGUAGCUGUUUUUAUUGGGCCUAAAGCGUUCGUAGCCGGUUUGAUAAGUCUUUGGUGAAAGCUUGUAGCUUAACUAUAAGAAUUGCUGGAGAUACUAUUAGACUUGAAGUCGGGAGAGGUUAGAGGUACUACCGGGGUAGGGGUGAAAUCCUAUAAUCCUGGGAGGACCACCUGUGGCGAAGGCGUCUAACUGGAACGAUCUUGACGGUGAGUAACGAAAGCCAGGGGCGCGAACCGGAUUAGAUACCCGGGUAGUCCUGGCCGUAAACGAUGUGGACUUGGUGUUGGAAUGGCUUUGAGUUGUUCCGGUGCCGAAGGGAAGCUGUUAAGUCCGCCGCCUGGGAAGUACGGUCGCAAGACUGAAACUUAA